rnacentral:rRNA from 1 species
UGAGCAAUCUGCCCUUCACAUCGGAAUAACCAUUGGAAACGAUGGCUAAUACCGAAUAUGACUUCGGAUCGCAUGAUCUGAAGUGGAAAGCUCCGGCGGUGAAGGAUGAGCUCGCGGCCUAUCAGCUAGUUGGUGUGGGUAAUGGCCCACCAAGGCGACGACGGGUAGCCGGCCUGAGAGGGUGACCGGCCACACUGGGACUGAGAUACCGGCCCAGACUCCGUAACGGGG